ACUGUCAUUUGUACACAUCUGGGCCCCAACUGAAAUUUCAUCCAACAGCCCCGUCAAACAGGAGACACAUCCCAUCCAGCUCCGCCAGUUUGCCGCGUUUUCCAAACUCUAAAGCCCUCUAUUACACUUUUCUCUCCUUUUACCACGUAGUCCAAGAAAUCUAGCCAGCUGGAAAUCAAAGGAAUGCCUUGACAGGGGGAGAAUGGAGGCCAAGCAAACAGUCAGAAGGCUCAGUUGUGAGAGCAGGCUCGCUGAAGGAUGGGGUGACGGCCCUGGAGGGCAGGAAGUGGCAACUUGGAGGGUGGACAGAUGAAGCCCGCAGUCUUUUGCUGCCCGAAUGACACCGGGAACCUCCUGAACGCGGUUGUACCAUCGGAGCAGGUUGGGGAGCUGCUGCAGAGCGCCGGGAGCACUCGCCCGAAGGGAACACUUCGAGAUGACCAGAGAAAAUAACAGCAGGGGGAAGAAAAACACAAGCAGAGUAUUGAUUAGACGAUUCCGACAAUGUGCUAUAAAUGUCAGGUUUAACUAGCAAUCGCUAAUCAAACUAUAGCCCCGAAUAGAAACCUAAGACAAACAAAGCUGUGAUCACAAAGAGAGAAGACAGAAACGGGAGACAGCAUGGGAUGUGUGUUGUGGACAGAGAAAACACGCUAAGCUGAGUAUGAAACUGGAAACCACUGGAGCACAGCUGACUGCUAAAAGCUUCACUGUGAGAACAUCAGUUAAAUCCUAACAUCUGAGGAGCAGACAGAGACAGCUGAAAGGUGAAACAGAGGCUGGAGGCUCGCUCAGCAUUCCAGAACAACAACAGAACAGGUCCAACAAGUGAUAUUAGCACAGCGGAUAUGAAAACAUGGAGGUGCAAAUGGAUUUCCAAAGAAAUCGAAAUUUUACUGUUUGUUUUCCAGUAAACUCCAAACAUAGAA